rnacentral:rRNA from 1 species
UUGGGAAUGGGCGCAAGCCUGAUCCAGCCAUGCCGCGUGAGUGAUGAAGGCCUUAGGGUUGUAAAGCUCUUUCACCGGAGAAGAUAAUGACGGUACUCGGAGAAGAAGCCCCGGCUAACUUCGUGCCAGCAGCCGCGGUAAUACGAAGGGGGCGAGCGUUGUUCGGAAUUACUGGGCGUAAAGCGCACCUAGGCGGAUAUUUAAGUCAGGGGUGAAAUCCCGUAGCUCAACUGCGGAACUGCUUUGAUACUGGGUAUCUUGAGUAUGGUAGAGGAAAGUGGAAUUCCGAGUGUACAGGUGAAAUUCGUAGAUAUUCGGAGGAACACCAGUGGCGAAGGCGGCUUACUGGUCCAUUACUGACGCUUAUGUGCGAAAGCGUGGGGAGCAAACAGGAUUAGAUACCCUGGUAGUCCACGCCGUAAACUAUGAAUGUUAGCCGUUGGGCAACCUACUGGUCGGUGGCGCACCUAACGCAUUAACCNUUCCGCCUGGGGAGUACGGUCGCAAGAUUAACACUCA